AUUGAACGCUGGCGGCAGGCCUAACACAUGCAAGCCGAGCGGAUGAGGGUAGCUUGCUAUCUGAUUCAGCGGCGGACGGGUGAGUAAUGCCUAGGAAUCUGCCUGGUAGUAGGGGACAACGUUUCGAAAGGAACGCUAAUACCGCAUACGUCCUACGGGAGAAAGUGGGGGAUCUUCGGACCUCACGCUAUCAGAUGAGCCUAGGUACGAUGAGCUAGUUGGGGAGGUAAAGGCUCACCAAGGCGACGAUCGUUAACUGGUCUGAGAGGAUGAUCAGUCACACUGGAACCGAGACACGGUCCAGACUCCUACGGGAGGCAGCAGUGGGGAAUAUUGGACAAUGGGCGAAAGCCUGAUCCAGCCAUGCCGCGUGUGUGAAGAAGGUCUUCGGAUUGUAAAGCACUUUAAGUUGGGAGGAAGGGCAGUAAGUUAAUACCUUGCUGUUUUGACGUUACCGACAGAAUAAGCACCGGCUAACUUCGUGCCAGCCGCCGCCGUAAUAC
rnacentral:rRNA from 1 species